GAGUUUGAUCAUGGCUCAGAUUGAACGCUGGCGGCAUGCCUUACACAUGCAAGUCGAACGGUAACGCGGGGCAACCUGGCGACGAGUGGCGAACGGGUGAGUAACGCAUCGGAACGUGCCUGGUAGUGGGGGAUAACUGCUCGAAAGAGCAGCUAAUACCGCAUACGACCUGAGGGUGAAAGGGGGGAGUCGCAAGACCUCUCGCUAUCAGAGCGGCCGAUGUCGGAUUAGCUAGUUGGUGGGGUAAAGGCCCACCAAGGCAACGAUCCGUAGCUGGUCUGAGAGGACGACCAGCCACACUGGGACUGAGACACGGCCCAGACUCCUACGGGAGGCAGCAGUGGGGAAUUUUGGACAAUGGACGCAAGUCUGAUCCAGCCAU
rnacentral:rRNA from 1 species